UCAAGCGAGAAAGCGCAUACGGUGGAUGCCUUGGCAGUAGAAGGCGAAGAAAGACGUGGCAGCCUGCGAAAAGCGUCGGGGAGUUGGCAGACAAGCAUUGAUCCGACGAUGUCUGAAUGGGGAAACCCGGCUGGUAUACCAGUCAUUGUGUACUGAAUCAAUAGGUACAUGAAGCGAUACUUGGGGAACUGAAACAUCUAAGUACCCAAAGGAAAAGAAAUCAAACGAGAUUCUGUAAGUAGCGGCGAGCGAAAGCGGAGUAGCCCAGUUACGAAAGCUGCGGUUUUUUAGUGGAAGCAUCUGGAAAGGUGUGCAAUAAAGGGUGAUAGCCCCGUACACGAAAGAAAGCCGAUAGUGGGUAACGAUGAGUAGGCCGGGACACGUGGAAUCCUGGCUGAAGAUGGGGGGACCAUCCUCCAAGGCUAAAUACUAACUACUGACCGAUAGUGAACCAGUACCGUGAGGGAAAGGCGAAAAGAACCCCGGAGAGGGGAGUGAAAUAGAACCUGAAACCGUAUGUGUACAAGCAGUGGAAGUCUGGGCAACUGGACGACUGCGUACCUUUUGUAUAAUGGGUCAGCGAGUUAUUUGCUGUGGCGAGCUUAACCGCAUAGGGGAGGCGAAGGGAAACCGAGUCUGAAUAGGGCGUUAAGUCGCAGUGAAUAGACCCGAAGCCGGGCGAUCUAUCCAUGACCAGGGUGAAGGUUGGGUAACACCAACUGGAGGCCCGAACCCACGUCUGUUGAAAAAUACGGGGAUGAGUUGUGGAUAGGAGUGAAAGGCUAAUCAAGCCCGGAGAUAGCUGGUUCUCCUCGAAAGCUAUUUAGGUAGCGCCUCGUGUAUUACGCUUGGGGGUAGAGCACUGUUUCGGCUAGGGGGUCAAUCUGACUUACCAACCCGAUGCAAACUCCGAAUACCAAGCAGUAGAGCACGGGAGACACACGGCGGGUGCUAACGUCCGUCGUGAAGAGGGAAACAACCCAGACCGCCAGCUAAGGUCCCCAAAUACAGUUAAGUGGAAAACGAGGUGGAAGGGCAUAGACAGCCAGGAGGUUGGCUUAGAAGCAGCCAUCCUUUAAAGAAAGCGUAAUAGCUCACUGGUCGAGUCAGUCUGCGCGGAAGAUAUAACGGGGCUCAAACUGUAUACCGAAGCUGCGGAUUUCUAGCAAUGGCUAGAAGUGGUAGAGGAGCGUUCUGUAAGCCGUAGAAGGUGAGUUGAAAAGCUUGCUGGAGGUAUCAGAAGUGCGAAUGCUGACAUGAGUAACGAUAAUGCGGGUGAAAAACCCGCACGCCGAAAGUCCAAGGUUUCCUGCGCAACGGUAAUCGGCGCAGGGUGAGUCGGCCCCUAAGGCGAGGCGGAAACGCGUAGUCGAUGGGAAACAGGUUAAUAUUCCUGUACUAAUGUUUAUUGCGAUGGGAGGACGAAGAAGGUUAGGUUAGCCCGUGAUUGGUUGAACGGGUUUAAGUGAGUAGGGAGUGUGCUUAGGUAAAUCCGGGUGCAUGAUGAACUGAGACACGAUGACGAGGCGGCUUGCCGCUGAAGUAACUGAUACCCCGCUUCCAGGAAAAGUCUCUAAGCUUCAGAUAGACAUUAACCGUACCCGAAACCGACACAGGUGGACAGGUAGAGAAUACCAAGGCGCGUGAGAGAACUCGGGUGAAGGAACUAGGCAAAAUAGCACCGUAACUUCGGGAGAAGGUGCGCCCUUGUGUGUGAAGCCCUUGCGGUGUAAGCAUAUGAGGGUCGAAGAAACCAGGUGGUUGCGACUGUUUAUUAAAAACACAGCACUCUGCAAACUCGUAAGAGGAAGUAUAGGGUGUGACGCCUGCCCGGUGCUGGAAGGUUAAAUGAUGGUGUGCAAGCACUUGAUUGAAGCCCCAGUAAACGGCGGCCGUAACUAUAACGGUCCUAAGGUAGCGAAAUUCCUUGUCGGGUAAGUUCCGACCUGCACGAAUGGCGUAACGACAGCCACGCUGUCUCCACCCGAGACUCAGUGAAAUUGAAAUCGCUGUGAAGAUGCGGCGUACCCGCGGCAAGACGGAAAGACCCCGUGCACCUUUACUAUAGCUUUACACUGGACUUUGAGUCUGCUUGUGUAGGAUAGGUGGGAGACUAUGAAGCGUGCUCGCUAGAGUGCGUGGAGUCAUCCUUGAAAUACCACCCUGGCAGGCUUAGAGUUCUAACUGAGUGCCGUGAAUCCGGUGCCAGGACAGUGUAUGGUGGGUAGUUUGACUGGGGCGGUCUCCUCCUAAAGCGUAACGGAGGAGCACAAAGGUACCCUCAGCGCGGUCGGAAAUCGUGCGUAGAGUGCAAAGGCAAAAGGGUGCUUGACUGCGAGACUGACACGUCGAGCAGAUACGAAAGUAGGUCUUAGUGAUCCGGUGGUUCUGUAUGGAAGGGCCAUCGCUCAACGGAUAAAAGGUACGCCGGGGAUAACAGGCUGAUACCGCCCAAGAGUUCAUAUCGACGGCGGUGUUUGGCACCUCGAUGUCGGCUCAUCACAUCCUGGGGCUGUAGCCGGUCCCAAGGGUAUGGCUGUUCGCCAUUUAAAGUGGUACGCGAGCUGGGUUUAGAACGUCGUGAGACAGUUCGGUCCCUAUCUGCCGUGGGCGUUGGAGAAUUGAGAGGAGCUGCUCCUAGUACGAGAGGACCGGAGUGGACGAGCCUCUGGUGUACCGGUUGUCAUGCCAAUGGCAUUGCCGGGUAGCUAAGCUCGGACGGGAUAACCGCUGAAAGCAUCUAAGCGGGAAGCCUCCCUCAAGAUGAGUUCUCCCAAGGAUUUAAGCCUUCUAAAGGUCCGUUGAAGAUGACAACGUUGAUAGGCGCGAUGUAGAAGUGCAGUAAUGCAUGUAGCUGACGCGUACUAAUUGACCGUGAGGCUUGACCCU
rnacentral:rRNA from 1 species